UACGGAGGGGGCUAGCGUUGCUCGGAAUGACUGGGCGUAAAGGGCGCGUAGGCGGCUCAUACAGUCAGAUGUGAAAUUCCUGGGCUUAACCUGGGGGCUGCAUUUGAUACGUGUGGGCUUGAGUGGGGAAGAGGGUCGUGGAAUUCCCAGUGUAGAGGUGAAAUUCGUAGAUAUUGGGAAGAACACCGGUGGCGAAGGCGGCGACCUGGUCCUUGACUGACGCUGAGGCGCGAAAGCGUGGGGAGCAAACAGG
rnacentral:rRNA from 1 species